CGAUUUCUGGCAUCCGCGCCUUUCUGUGUUUUCCCUACUAUGCUGGUGCCUGGAAGUCAGUCUUCCACUAGCAGCCUUUGGAUGAAGAUGUAGAACUCUCAGCUCUGCCUGUGCCACGCCUGUCUGGAUGCUGCCAUGCUUGAUGAUAAUGGACCUGUAAGCCAGCCCCAAUGAAAUGUUGUUUUUAUAAGACUUGCCUUGGUCAUGGUGUCUGUUCACAGCAGUAAAACCCUAACUAGGACAAUGUCUUACCAAAAUAAGUGUAUGCACAUGUGUAUAUUCGCCUUUAACAUCUAAAAACAACCAGCAUGCGCUGGCACGGCUCUGUAAACGGUAACUGUCGAGGAAUCCACCUCCUUGUAGAGCCGUAAGGGCUGACUCCAGCAGGAAACCAUCAGCGUCCAAGCUCGUAGGAAACCAAAGGUCACCUGACAAGUAUGUUUUCUGCUUUCACUCGAAAUCUGUUUUAAAUUUCUCAACCCAGAGGCUUCAAAAUCUACCUCCUUGCUUCCUUAGACCUAGCAGCCACAAAAAGGUGACGAAAUCUCCAUGGGACUGUGAGAGCCCUGUUGGGAAAAGCAAAGCCAUCCGGGCAUAGCAAGAUACCAGGACCCUGUCAUCUAACAGUAAGUCAUGCUCACUAACACAUCUUCAGCUUGAGGGCUGGGGAGAUGGCUUAGUGUUUAAUGUCCUUGCCAGAUGUGUGUGCAGUGUUGGGUGCCCAUAAAUGUUGUGGGUGGGCCUGGUGCUGUUUGUGUUUUGAUGCUAAUUUCGCUCUCCUGGGAGGGGUUGAGGACAAGAAGUAAAUCAGUACCCAGGUGACUUCUUGUGAACCAAACCCCAAUGAAUAAAGGAGCCAAUCACUGGGCAAGUAGGCGGGACUUCCAGGUUGGACAGAGAAAGAGAAGGAGGAGGAGAGGAUUAGAGACUUUUG
rnacentral:lncRNA from 1 species